CCUACGGGUGGCAGCAGUGAGGAAUAUUGGUCAAUGGGCGCUAGCCUGAACCAGCCAAGUCGCGUGAAGGAUGACUGUCCUAUGGGUUGUAAACUUCUUUUAUAUGGGAAUAAAGUGCAGUAUGUAUACCGCUUUGCAUGUACCUUAUGAAUAAGGAUCGGCUAACUCCGUGCCAGCAGCCGCGGUAAUACGGAGGAUCCGAGCGUUAUCCGGAUUUAUUGGGUUUAAAGGGAGCGUAGGCGGGUUGUUAAGUCAGUUGUGAAAGUUUGCGGCUCAACCGUAAAAUUGCAGUUGAUACUGGCAUCCUUGAGUACAGUAGAGGUAGGCGGAAUUCGUGGUGUAGCGGUGAAAUGCUUAGAUAUCACGAAGAACUCCGAUUGCGAAGGCAGCCUACUGGACUGUAACUGACGCUGAUGCUCGAAAGUGUGGGUAUCAAACAGGAUUAGAUACCCGAGUAGUC
rnacentral:rRNA from 1 species